rnacentral:rRNA from 1 species
UACGUAGGGGGCGAGCGUUGUCCGGAAUCAUUGGGCGUAAAGCGCGUGUAGGCGGUCCGGUAAGUCCGCUGUGAAAGUCGGGGGCUCAACCCUCGGAUGCCGGUGGAUACUGUCGGGCUUGAGUACGGAAGAGGCGAAUGGAAUUCCUGGUGUAGCGGUGAAAUGCGCAGAUAUCAGGAGGAACACCAAUUGCGAAGGCAGCUCGCUGGGACGUUACUGACGCUGAGACGCGAAAGCGUGGGGAGCAAACAGG